rnacentral:rRNA from 1 species
UACGUAGGGGGCAAGCGUUGUCCGGAAUCAUUGGGCGUAAAGAGCGUGUAGGCGGCUUGGUAAGUCCGCUGUGAAAGUCCAGGGCUCAACCCUGGAAUGCCGGUGGAAACUGUCAAGCUUGAGUCCGGAAGAGGCGAGUGGAAUUCCUGGUGUAGCGGUGAAAUGCGCAGAUAUCAGGAGGAACACCAAUGGCGAAGGCAGCUCGCUGGGACGGUACUGACGCUGAGGCGCGAAAGCGUGGGGAGCAAACAGG